rnacentral:rRNA from 1 species
UAGGGUUUGAUCCUGGCUCAGAUUGAACGCUGGCGGCAGGCCUAACACAUGCAAGUCGAGCGGAUGAAGGGAGCUUGCUCCUGGAUUCAGCGGCGGACGGGUGAGUAAUGCCUAGGAAUCUGCCUGGUAGUGGGGGAUAACGUCCGGAAACGGGCGCUAAUACCGCAUACGUCCUGAGGGAGAAAGUGGGGGAUCUUCGGACCUCACGCUAUCAGAUGAGCCUAGGUCGGAUUAGCUAGUUGGUGGGGUAAAGGCCUACCAAGGCGACGAUCCGUAACUGGUCUGAGAGGAUGAUCAGUCACACUGGAACUGAGACACGGUCCAGACUCCUACGGGAGGCAGCAGUGGGGAAUAUUGGACAAUGGGCGAAAGCCUGAUCCAGCCAUGCCGCGUGUGUGAAGAAGGUCUUCGGAUUGUAAAGCACUUUAAGUUGGGAGGAAGGGCAGUAAGUUAAUACCUUACUGUUUUGACGUUACCAACAGAAUAAGCACCGGCUAACUUCGUGCCAGCAGCCGCGGUAAUACGAAGGGUGCAAGCGUUAAUCGGAAUUACU